AGUCCCUGAUUUUGCUCCCCACCUGUGGGAACUUCUGUGUUCCGAUUGGACAGAGAAUCCCCGCCCUGGGUGGGGAGCCGUUACCUGGAGACGACACGUGACCAAACUUUCUUACUGGGAAGCAAAAGGUUUAAACAAUGGCGGUGUAAUGCAGUGGUCACAGUUCAACUCUAUAAAGCAAUAUAUGCUUUAUAAAGAAUGCUCAGUGCCUGCAAAUGAACUCAAUGAAAGUUAAAAACACUUCUGAGGGAACAGAUCAUGUCUCUGAUAACGUAUGACUUUUGAAAUAAAAAUAUGAGAGAAAACAGGUUUGACUACAUUUUGCCUAACACUGCAUACAAACUGUUUAUUUCUUUGCACCCACACCCUC